rnacentral:rRNA from 1 species
GUGUCAGCCGCCGCGGUAAUACGGAGGGUGCAAGCGUUAAUCGGAAUUACUGGGCGUAAAGCGCACGUAGGUGGUUUUGUAAGUUGGAUGUGAAAGCCCUGGGCUCAACCUGGGAAUUGCAUUCGAUACUGCUUAACUAGAGUAUGGUAGAGGGAAGUGGAAUUUCCGGUGUAGCGGUGAAAUGCGUAGAUAUCGGAAGGAACACCAGUGGCGAAGGCGACUUCCUGGGCCAAUACUGACACUGAGGUGCGAAAGCGUGGGUAGCAAACAGGAUUAGAAACCCUCGUAGUCC